GGAGAGAUGCCAGAGAGGUUGAUUGGGACGGUCUCGAAAACCGUUAUACGUGCAAGCGUAUCGGGGGUUCGAAUCCCCCUCUCUCCGCCA
rnacentral:tRNA from 1 species